rnacentral:rRNA from 1 species
CAGCCGCCGCGGUAAAACGUAGGUGGCAAGCGUUGUCCGGAAUUAUUGGGCGUAAAGCGCGCGCAGGCGGAUAGGUCAGUCUGUCUUAAAAGUUCGGGGCUUAACCCCGUGAUGAGAUGGAAACUGCCAAUCUAGAGUAUCGGAGAGGAAAGUGGAAUUCCUAGUGUAGCGGUGAAAUGCGUAGAUAUUAGGAAGAACACCGGUGGCGAAAGCGGCUCUCUGGCUUGUAACUGACGCUGAGGCUCGAAAGCGUGGGGAGCAAACAGGAUUAGAUACCCCCGUAGUCCCUGUCUCUUAUACA